rnacentral:rRNA from 1 species
CCUACGGGGGCAGCAGUGGGGAAUAUUGGACAAUGGGCGAAAGCCUGAUCCAGCCAUGCCGCGUGUGUGAAGAAGGCCUUCGGGUUGUAAAGCACUUUCAGUGGGGAAGAAAGCCUUGGGGCUAAUACCCUCGAGGAAGGACAUCACCCACAGAAGAAGCACCGGCUAACUCCGUGCCAGCAGCCGCGGUAAUACGGAGGGUGCGAGCGUUAAUCGGAAUUACUGGGCGUAAAGCGCGCGUAGGCGGUCUGAUAAGCCGGUUGUGAAAGCCCCGGGCUCAACCUGGGAACGGCAUCCGGAACUGUCAGGCUAGAGUGCAGGAGAGGAAGGUAGAAUUCCCGGGGUAGCGGUGAAAUGCGUAGAGAUCGGGAGGAAUACCAGUGGCGAAGGCGGCCUUCUGGACUGACACUGACGCUGAGGUGCGAAAGCGUGGGUAGCAAACAGGAUUAGAUACCCUAGUAGUC